GAAUGAAGGAAGCAUAAUAUGCACAGAAAUUGAUUUGGGUCUCUAGGCCUGCCCUCUCUUAUGCUUUUCGGCUUUGAUUUGGGGGCUUGGUUCCAUAAAAAAAAA